rnacentral:rRNA from 1 species
CCUACGGGAGGCUGCAGUGAGGAAUAUUGGUCAAUGGACGAGAGUCUGAACCAGCCAAGUAGCGUGAAGGAUGACUGCCCUAUGGGUUGUAAACUUCUUUUAUAUGGGAAUAAAAUGUUCCACGUGUGGGAUUUUGUAUGUACCAUAUGAAUAAGGAUCGGCUAACUCCGUGCCAGCAGCCGCGGUAAUACGGAGGAUCCGAGCGUUAUCCGGUUUUAUUGGGUUUAAAGGGAGCGUAGGUGGAUUGUUAAGUCAGUUGUGAAAGUUUGCGGCUCAACCGUAAAAUUGCAGUUGAAACUGGCAGUCUUGAGUACAGUAGAGGUGGGCGGAAUUCGUGGUGUAGCGGUGAAAUGCUUAGAUAUCACGAAGAACUCCGAUUGCGAAGGCAGUUCACUGGACUGCAACUGACACUGAGGCUCGAAAGUGUGGGUAUCAAACAGGAUUAGAUACCCUGGUAGGC